rnacentral:rRNA from 1 species
AUUGAACGCUGGCGGCAUGCUUUACACAUGCAAGUCGAACGGCAGCGCGGGCUUCUGCCUGGCGGCGAGUGGCGAACGGGUGAGUAAUGCAUCGGAACGUGCCCAGUAGUGGGGGAUAGCCCGGCGAAAGCCGGAUUAAUACCGCAUACGACCUUAGGGUGAAAGCGGGGGACCGAAAGGCCUCGCGCUAUUUGAGCGGCCGAUGUCGGAUUAGCUAGUUGGUGGGGUAAAGGCUUACCAAGGCGACGAUCCGUAGCUGGUCUGAGAGGACGACCAGCCACACUGGGACUGAGACACGGCCCAGACUCCUACGGGAGGCAGCAGUGGGGAAUUUUGGACAAAGGGGGCAACCCUGAUCCAGCCAUGCCGCGUGCGGGAAGAAGGCCUUCGGGUUGUAAACCGCUUUUGUUCGGGAAGAAAUCCUCUGGGCUAAUACCCCGGGGGGAUGACGGUACCGGAAGAAUAAGCACCGGCUAACUACGUG